rnacentral:lncRNA from 1 species
CUUGAUAUAUAUGAUAUGAUAUGAUAUGGGGGAGUAUUAGUAAUAUGAUACAUAUAUAUGAUAUGGAUAUCAUAUCAUAAUAAUAUAUGAUAUGAUACGAUACUAAUUAGUAAUAUGAUAUAGUAGUAUUAAGUUGUAUAUAUAUGAUACUCAUUGGGAAUGAAAAGGGAUUGAGUAUCUCUCCCACUUAUUUACAUCUCUAAUAAUCCAGGAUAGAAAAAAAAAUAUAUAUAUAUAUAUAUAUAUAUAUAUAUGAAUUUCCUUUAGUUUUAUAUAUAUUUACGAAAAUGCCACUGACGCAUCUGCACGCAUAUGCUCAAGUGCUCCAGGUAGUGGCGCAUCGCGCAGAGGUGCAUCUGAAACCUUAGUGUCUAUAAUAUAUAUCAAGGUCAAUAUUUGUUACCAGCUAGGAUUGACCCACCUGUCAUUUAUAAUUAGACAUCAACAAUUACACCAUCAGAAAUUCAGAAAAUGUGUCAUUAAUAAUGCUUCCGAAGUGCGAACUCUCUCUCAAGACUAGAAACUUAUUCUCAGACAUUAGAGGUUUAUUUCAUUUCUCAGCAAGUGGAAAUUUAGGGUAGGAUGCUUUCAAAAAAAAUUAGGGUAGGGGGGUAACUGCAUAUAACCCCUGAAAAUCAAA